rnacentral:lncRNA from 1 species
UGUUAGCCAGGAUGGUCUCAAUCUCCUGACCUUGUGAUCCGCCCACCUCGGCCUCCCAAAGUGCUGGGAUUACAGGCAUGAGCCAGUGCGCCUGGCCCACAUAUGUAAUUCUGAAAUAGAAAUACAAUGAUUAUUUUAUUUAACCCAAUAUAUCCAAAAUAAUAUUUAUCAAUUUAUAACAUAUUAUCAAUUUAUAACAUAUUAUCAAUAUAGUUAUUAAGUGUGAUAAUUUGCAUGUUAAGUCUUUAAAAUCUAAUGUGUAUUUCACACCUAAGGCACAUCUCAAUUCCUGUUUUCAUCAUACUUGAUUUGUAUAUACAUUUCAUAAAAUUCACAGAUGACAAAGUAGACUCACAAACCCAAUUGUUCCAAACAUAGCUAUCAUUUUAUUUUAUUUUUCAUAUCCACACUGAAAAAAAUCCCAUUCAUCUUUUUCAAAAUAAUUGAUUUGACUUUGGACCAAAAGCAUAUAAGUUUGAAAACAUUUGCCUAAGUUAGGUAAAUUCAAUAAAUCUUAUGUAAGCUCAGUACUGUUAACACUGACUUCGGAGUUACUGAGUAUACUGAAAAGCAACCCUAAAUUUAAUCAAUAAAGCAUUUUAAAAUUUUUUCUUAUUUUUUACAGUAAAUUUACAUGACAUCAAAUACAAUGAAAACUUCAAGCAUACUGACUCGUGUUAGAAAAAUGAGUAAAAUUAAUCUUACUGAUUUUUAUUUUUAGAAGUUUUGAUUUCAAUAUAAACUCUAGUACUUGUCUAGGACAGGCACAAGUAAGCUUUUUCCUAUCCUUGGAGCUUCAAAUUUGGAUCAUUCAUAUGCCAUAGGAUAUUGGGUAGAAAAAUUAAACUGCCAUUUUUGGUCUUUGAUUAUUAAAUAUCUGGCUAGCAUCCCUGUUAUUGGAAGAAAAUCUUGGAGUUAACAGUACAGUAAGUUUUGUAGAGCUCUUCCACAAUAUGACCAACUGACAGGGUAUAUAAGAUCACUAAAUUCAUCUCUUAAUUCUUUCCACAAUCCUAUAAGCUGGUGUUGAUUUGUACCAUGUGCACUUAUACAAUGAGCACUUAAUUGAACCCAACAAGUGACAAUUUGUUGUAGAGACCAUUUAAAAAUCUGAGCAUAAAUAUUUUCAAACCAUAUCAUUUAGUGGAAUGAAGAAAUAACAGAAACAUCAAGUUUGUUUUAAAAUUCUAAUGAAAUCUAAUUUUUUUUAACCUAACUUAGCUGGAGUGCCAUUUAUUGUGACAGAAAAUGUUUUUUUUUUCUCAUCUAGCUGAAACUGUUAUAACACACGCAGAGAUUUUAAAAGCUGCAUGAGAUGGGCGCGGUGGCUCACACCUGUAAUAUCGGCAUUCUGGGAGGCUAAGGCGGGUGGAUCACUUGAACCAGGGAGUUCGAGGCCAGCCUGGGCAUCAUGGGGAAACCCUGUCUCUACCAAAAAUACAAAAACUAGCCGAUUGUGGUGGCAUGUGCCUGUAAUCCCUACUACUUGGGAAGCUGAGGUGGGAGGAUUGCUUGAGCCUAGAAACAGAGGUUGCAGUAAGCCAUGAUCAUGCCACUGCCUGGGCGACAAAGCAAGACCCUGUCUCAAAAAAUAAUAAUAAUUAACAUUUAAUUAUUAAAAAAACAGCUGCAUAAAUUUGUUUUUUGUUUUUUUUUGACUUGGAGUCUUGCUCCGUCGCUCAGGCAGGAGUGCAGUGGUGCGAUUUUAGCUCAGAAACCUCUGCCUCCCAGGUUCAAGCAAUUCUCCUGUCUCAGCCUCCUGAGUAGCUGGGACUACAGGCACCUGCCACCAUGCCUGGAUAAUUUUGUAUUUUUAGUAGAGGUGGGGUUUCACCUUGUUGGUCAGGCUGGUCUCGAACUCCUGACCUCAGGUGAUCCACCUGCCUCGGCCUCCCAUAAAGUGCUGGGAUUACACGUGUGAACCACUGCACCUGGCCAUAAAUUUGACUUUUGGGGCCAUCAAUUGAAAUUAUUUCUUCAUAAUUUUUAAGUCCUAUGAGACUCAAUGUAGUGUGUUACUUGGGUAGUUUCUCAAAUUAUGAAACUGUUCUAAAACUACAGAAAUGUACUUAUGAUUUUUCAGAUUUAGAAUCAAUUAAUCUUUAAUAUUGCUAGGUCCUAUAUUCUAAUAGCAAUUGUUUGGUGCUUAACUAAAGGCCUUGUACUUUUUUUUUUUUUCUGAGACAAAGUCUCGCUCUGUCGCCCAGGCUGGAGUUCAGUGGUGUGAUCUCUGCUCACUGCAACCUCCGCCUCCUGUGUUCAAGCGAUUCUCCUGCCCUAGCCUCCCGAGUAGCUGGGACUACAGGUGCAUGCCACCAGGCCCAGCUAAUUUUUUGUAUUUUUAGUAGAGAUGGGGUUUCACCAUAUUAGCUAGGAUGGUUUCGAUCUCCUAACCUCAUGAUCCACCUGCCUCGGCCUCCCAAAGUGCUGGGAUUACAGGCAUGAGCCACAGCACCCAGCAAGGCCUUGUAAUUUUUAAUAAAACAUCUUAUUUAGGCUUUUAUUCAUAAUUUUCUAACAAUUUCUUCAACUGAAAUAAUUUCACAUUUAUCCAUUUAAAACUAGUUCUCAGCCAGGCAUGGUGGUUCAUGCCUAUAAUCCCAGCACUUUGGGAGGCCAAGGCAGGAAGGCUGUUUGAGCCCAGGAGUCCAAUACCAACCUGGGCAACAUGGCAAAACCCCAUCUCUACAAAAAGAUAUAAAAACUAGCUGGGUGUGGUGGCAUGUACCUGUAUUCCCAGCUACUUAGGGGGCUGAGGUGGGAGGACUGCUUGGGCCCAGGAGGAAGAGGCUGCAGUGAGCCACUGCAGUCCAGCUUGGGUGACAUAGCAGGACCCUCCCCUCUCCCAUCCAAAAAAAAAAAAAACCCUAAUUCUUUCAUGCAAGAAUCUCAGCUAUUUUGCUGAGCAUGGUGGCUCACUCCUGUAAUCCUAGUACUUUGGGAGGCUGAGGCAGGCGCAUCACCUGAGGUCAGGAGUUUGAGACCAGCCUGGCCAACAAGGUGGAACCCCGUCUCUAUAAAAAAUACAAAAAAAUUAGCUGGGCAUGGUGGCAGACACCUGUAAUCCCAGCUACUUGGGAGGCUGAGGCAGGAGAACUGCUUGAACCCAGAAGGUGGAAGUUGCAGUGAGCCGAGAUUGCACCACUGUACUCCAGCCUGGGUGACACAAGACUCUGUCUCAAAAAAAAAAAAUUAGGCAGGCGUCGUGGCACACUCCUGUAAUCCUAGCUACUCGGGAGGCUGAGGCAGGAGAAUCACUUGAACCCAGGAAGUGGAGGUUGCAGUGAGCCAAGAUUGCGCCAUUGCACUCCAGCCUGGGUGACACCACAAGACUCUGUCUCGGGAAAAAAAAAAAGAAUCUCAGCUAUUUCACAUCUGGCCAAACUUACAACCUUAGUUCCUUCUAAAAUUGUUUUUAAAAACUCUUGUUAAUUCUGAUUUUAGGUGACUAAAUUUCAUUGAUUCUUUUUGGCAUAUGAAAUAUAAUUUACCCAAUUCAUUUUGCAUCUGCUGAAGUCUCAAUUUUCCUACUUUGUUUCUUAAAUAGCAGCUUGUUUUGCUCUGCCACAGCAAACUGCAAUUGCCAUUCAUUGUCAAAUCUGCAACAUACCUUCUUUGAGUCUGUUUACUGUUCCAGUUGUACUAGGUUCUGCAUCGCCACUUGAUUCUUUUUCAGUAUGCCUUCAUUUUAAAUUUAAAAAUUUGCUCAUAUUCAUGUGUAAACUAGAAAAAUAAUUUAAUCAUGAUUAAAAUAAGUAUUUCAAUUACCAGUUAUAAUUUACACAGGAAUCACUGUAAUUCCUGUUGUCUGCAUAAAAUAUUCAGAUAAACAUGAUGUUACAUCAAUUUGUAGAAAAAAUAACUUGCAUUGAAUCCAUCUGCUGACAGCAGUAUCAUCAUAUCUUAUGCAAGGUAACAGAGUAAAAUGUAUUACUGAAAAACAGUAAAGCUAAGCAGAAAAAUAUUUCACAUUGUUUCAGUUUUCAUAUUUAAGUAAAAGUAAAUAAAUAAAAAUUUUACUUUUAGCCCUAAGCUGAUCAGCCACAUGUAGCUAGUGGCUACCAUACUAGAUAGCACAGAUAUGGAAAUGAGAAAGACAAGAGCCAAAAGGCUUACAGUUUUUAUUCCAUUUCUCUUUUAUUUAAUAUAACCUCCAGGGCUUAGAACUUAGCUGAGUCCUGCUAUUUUUUGCAUCCUUACUUAAAGUAAA